rnacentral:rRNA from 1 species
CCUACGGGUGGCAGCAGUGAGGAAUAUUGGUCAAUGGACGAGAGUCUGAACCAGCCAAGUAGCGUGAAGGAUGACUGCCCUAUGGGUUGUAAACUUCUUUUAUAAAGGAAUAAAACGAGGCACGUGUGCCUUUUUGCAUGUACUUUAUGAAUAAGGAUCGGCUAACUCCGUGCCAGCAGCCGCGGUAAUACGGAGGAUCCGAGCGUUAUCCGGAGUUAUUGGGUUUAAAGGGAGCGUAGAUGGGUUGUUAAGUCAGUUGUGAAAGGUUGCGGCUCAACCGUAAAAUUGCAAUUGAUACUGGCAGUCUUGAGUACAGUUGAGGUAUGCGGAAUUCGUGGUGUAGCGGUGAAAUGCUUAGAUAUCACGAAGAACCCCGAUUGCGAAGGCAGCUUACUAAACUGACUGACAUUGAUGCUCGAAAGUGUGGGUAUCAAACAGGAUUAGAUACCCGAGUAGUC